GACGAACGCUGGCGGCGUGCUUAACACAUGCAAGUCGAACGGAAAGGCCCUGCUUUUGUGGGGUGCUCGAGUGGCGAACGGGUGAGUAACACGUGAGUAACCUGCCCUUGACUUUGGGAUAACUUCACGAAACUGGGGCUAAUACCGGAUAUGAGCUCCUGCUGCAUGUUGGGGGUUGGAAAGUUUCGGCGGUUGGGGAUGGACUCGCGGCUUAUCAGCUUGUUGGUAUGGUAGUGGCUUACCAAGGCUUUGACGGCUAGCCGGCCUGGGAGGGUGACCGGCCACAUGGGGACUGGGAGACGGCCCGGAGGCAUACGGGAGGCAGGAGCGGAGAAUAGUGCGCAAGGGGCGGAAGCCUGAUGCAGCAACGCCGGGUGGGGGAUGACGGCCUUCGGGUGGUAACCCGUUUUCGACUGUGACGAAGCGUGAGGGACGGUAAUGGGUAGAGAAACACCGGUUAACUAGGU
rnacentral:rRNA from 1 species